AUUGAACGCUGGCGGCAGGCCUAACACAUGCAAGUCGAACGGUAACAGGAAGCAGCUUGCUGCUUCGCUGACGAGUGGCGGACGGGUGAGUAAUGUCUGGGAAGCUGCCUGAUGGAGGGGGAUAACUACUGGAAACGGUAGCUAAUACCGCAUAAUGUCGCAAGACCAAAGAGGGGGACCUUCGGGCCUCUUGCCAUCGGAUGUGCCCAGAUGGGAUUAGCUUGUUGGUGGGGUAACGGCUCACCAAGGCGACGAUCCCUAGCUGGUCUGAGAGGAUGACCAGCCACACUGGAACUGAGACACGGUCCAGACGCCUACGGGAGGCAGCAGUGGGGAAUAUUGCACAAUAGGCGCAAGCCUGAUGCAGCCAUGCCGCGUGUAUGAAGAAGGCCUUCGGGUUGUAAAGUAAUUUCAGCGGGGAGGAAGGGAGUAAAGUUAAUACCUUUGCUCAUUGACGUUACCCGCAGAAGAAGCACCGGCUAACUCCGU
rnacentral:rRNA from 1 species